UGGGGAAUCUUGGACAAUGGGCGCAAGCCUGAUCCAGCAACGCCGCGUGGAGGACGAAGGCCUUCGGGUCGUAAACUCCUGUCAGUAGGGACGAAAAAGUAGGGUCGAACAGGCCUUGCCAUUGACGGUACCUGCAGAGGAAGCCCCGGCUAACUCCGUGCCAGCAGCCGCGGUAAUACGGAGGGGGCAAGCGUUAUUCGGAAUUACUGGGCGUAAAGGGCGUGUAGGCGGCUUGAUAGGUCAAAAGGUGAAAUCCCUCGGCUCAACCGAGGAACUGCCUUUGAAACCAUCUGGCUCGAGGCUGGGAGGGGGUAGCGGAAUUCCUGGUGUAGCGGUGAAAUGCGUAGAUAUCAGGAGGAACACCAGUGGCGAAGGCGGCUACCUGGACCAGUUCUGACGCUGAGGCGCGAAAGCGUGGGG
rnacentral:rRNA from 1 species